CGCUGCCGCACCGGCAGCGCCCGGAUCCCUUUGGCUGUUGCGCCACCUGCGGCUCUGGCUGCCGCUGUCAGUUGGGUGGCUGGGUCCCAACAUGGCGUCGGCGGCCGCGGGGGCGGCUGUGGGGUCCGGGUCGGGCGGAUGGAAAUACUGAUGACGGUCCGGAGACUCGCCUCCAUCUGUACCAUGGGCGCCAAUGCCUCUGCUUUGGAGAAAGAGAUUGGUCCUGAACAGUUUCCUGUGAAUGAACAUUAUUUUGGCUUGGUCAAUUUUGGCAAUACCUGCUACUGCAACUCAGUCCUACAGGCACUUUAUUUUUGUCGUCCGUUUCGGGAAAAAGUUUUGGCAUACAAGGUCCAGCCCCGGAAGAAGGAAAGCCUCCUUACGUGCCUCUCCGAUCUCUUCAACAGCAUUGCCACACAAAAGAAGAAGGUGGGAGUCAUCCCACCCAAGAAAUUUAUUUCCCGGUUGAGGAAAGAAAAUGAAUUAUUUGAUAAUUAUAUGCAGCAAGAUGCACAUGAAUUCCUAAACUACCUACUAAACACUAUUGCUGACUUACUACAAGAAGAGAAAAAACAGGAGAAACAGAAUGGCAAACUCCAGAAUGGCAGCAUUGAGAGUGAGGAAGGAGACAAGACUGAUCUGACAUGGGUCCAUGAAAUCUUCCAGGGAACACUAACCAACGAAACCAGAUGUCUUAACUGUGAAGCUGUUAGUAGCAAAGAUGAGGACUUCCUGGACCUAUCGGUUGAUGUGGAACAAAAUACAUCAAUUACGCACUGCCUAAGGGGGUUCAGUAAUACUGAGACUUUAUGCAGUGAAUAUAAAUACUACUGUGAGCAGUGUCGCAGUAAACAGGAAGCACAGAAGAGAAUGAGAGUGAAGAAGUUGCCCAUGAUUCUAGCUCUGCACUUAAAAAGGUUCAAAUACAUGGACCAGCUGCACCGAUACACCAAACUCUCCUACCGUGUAGUCUUUCCCUUGGAGCUUCGGCUCUUUAAUACUUCAGGAGAUGCUACAAACCCUGACAGAAUGUAUGACCUUGUGGCUGUAGUUGUUCACUGUGGCAGCGGUCCAAACCGUGGACAUUAUAUCACCAUAGUGAAGAGCCAUGGCUUUUGGCUGCUAUUUGAUGACGACAUUGUAGAGAAUGUAAGACUUCAAAAAGCUUUAUAACCUUUUUGUUAUAAAUGCUAUGAUUUUUUGGAUCUGAAAUGUAAAUUGGAAGCAGUUUACUCUUCUUUUACUAGCUUCAAGAUUUGCUAAAUGCAAUCAAAGUGAAGGAGUCUUGUUUCAUUUUUGCUUGGGUGAAGGUUCAAGUUUCAAGUAAAAUAUCAGAAAAUUGAUGCCCAGGCCAUUGAAGAAUUCUAUGGGUUAACAUCAGACAUUUCCAAAAACUCAGAAUCCGGAUAUAUCCUCUUCUACCAGUCAAGAGACUAAAACUGAAAUGAUAAAUGUGUACAAAUAAAAAAGGGAUCAAGGUUAUGUCCCAAGGACAUCAGUGACAGCAGAAACAAUUCCUCAUCAUUGCUGUAGGACCAUGAGAGAUCCAGCAGGGAGAAGAAAGGUUUACCUCUGCCAUUUCUUGGAGGAUGAGUGCUGACUUCCAUAACAAGAAGAGCUUUUGCUCUGAUUUUCUUUCUGGGCUUUUUUUUACAUUGCUAGCUUCCAAAAUCUGGGUUACCUCUACUUGAAACCUGGCUGCUUAUUUGUUCAAGAACUGAAGAAAGGUUUUAAAAGUAGCAUUGUGGAAUUCUUUACCAUUCAGUGUCAGCCUGAGGCUAUACCUUGGAGUCUAUCAUCGUCAUUUUUCUGUAUUUUAGCAGAACGAUUUCAAUAUUCAGUGUCAGCUGAACACAUAUUUUGAGAUAUGAGCAGCAGCCAGUUGCUGGAUAUUUUUGGUGACUCAGACAUGCGAAACAGUACAGUGCUCAAACAUAUUGGGAACGUCAAGUCUGUAAUUUUUAAAAAGGUAGACAAAAAGCUAUUUCUGCAGCAUUAUAAAUUCCUCAGUAUGUAUCAUCUUGGUUUUAGAUAACACUAAUAGCACUCUUUUUUGUAUAUUGUUAACUUUUACUUCCUAGUCCCCCCUCCAGAAGAUGUAAUUUUUUUUCCACAUUUAACCUAAUCUGUUGUACUUUUUAAUUUUUUAAGCAAAAGUUUGACUCUCAAAGCCACAAUGCUGCAAAUUCAAGGGGAGCAAAGAAGCAGUUGAGCUUUUAAAAGUGCAUGUCUUGCAACCAGUUGUUAUAGAAAGUUUAAAGUUACAGUAUUUCUUGGAGCUAUUGCAUAAGCCAAAAGUGCCCUCUUCUGAAACAGGAUCUGUUCAGCAUUUCAUUCAGUAUAUAGUAAACAGAUGCAGGACCAUAUCUGCCUAUGAUAAUACCCAGAAGCAGCACUAAUUGUGAAGAGUUAACCAAGGGAAGCAUUAUUUACAUAACUAAUCCAGUUGUUCCUAGUCUUUGAAAUAAGAAAUUUCCAUUAAGGAAGAAAAACAAAAAACAAAGAAAGGUUAACAUACACUACCUUGCAAAGAGUUCCUCUUCAUCUUGUUGGGUACAUUAGUUUUGACAUGUGAAUCAUUGCCCCUGAAAAUGCUCUCUGAUUUGAUAUGCCACUAUAGGCCUUGCUUAACAGGGGAAAAGUAUGUUAGUCUUAUGAAGACUGAAUUUAAGUAACUAUCCAUUACAAAUGUAUAUAGUAUAAUCUCAAGGAUAAUUAGAAAGAAAAGAUUAAAGGGAUUUUAUAAGGAAUCUCUGAAACCCUUUAUGUAAUUUUCUUUUUGAAAAGUCCUUUUACAGUGCCAAAGCUUGUCAUAGCUGGCUCUAAACCAUGAGUGGAUAUUGAUAUUUUCCUUUCUUCAUCUUGUUAAAUAACACCAAAGCUGUCUUCUGCCUUGUUGGUCUUAGUACAGCAUUUCGUAGUACGCACUGGUGAUUGUUAUCUAUGAGGACAUUUAAUUUAUGCAAUUCUGUGAUUUGUACGGGAUAAAUAGAAUAUUUUACCAAAAUAUUGUCCUCAUGAAGACAACCCAUCAUAUACAUGCAGUCCUUUAUGGUGGCUGUACUCAUUAUCUGUUGUUCCCUUUCACAACUGGAAACCUCCUGUUAGCAAUUAAUUCCUUUCUUUAAAAUGGAAAUUAGUAAAUAUUAGCAUAUUACAAUUGGUUACAAGUUCCAUCCCCUCCCACCUCUCCUUCUCGAGAAGAAAAAGUAUGGACAGUCAAUUCCUGAUUUUUAUUAUGCAAAGUACUCUCAUUUUCAGAGAUUUAAUCAGUAACCGUAAAACCUUUUUUGUCAUCUUGUUGUUCCUACUUGUGUGAAAAUUGCUCUUGGUUAGCAAUCCUCUCCACUUGUUCGCAGGAAAACCCAGAGCCCCCGGAUAGUGACACUAACAGAAAUCUGUCAUCAGUAACUCUUGCAAAAAGAGAGCGCACUGAGUUUAAAAAACAAAUCUAAACAGUAAACACAAAAAAGUGAUGCAGAACACUAUACAUGUAUUUUGUAUAUCUGGUGAAACAUUUUUACAAAUAAAAUAUCUGAUUUGAGAGAGAUAAUAUUGAAAGAAUAUAUACUAUAGAUUAAAAGAAGAACUGUUAAAAGUGCACUUUUGCUACAGAUUUAUAAGGAAACUAAAUGGGAUUAAAUUGGAAGAGAAUGGUGUGAUGUUACUUCUGUAUAAUUAAUGACCCCACCUGUCUCCAAUAAAGGUCAUGUAUGUUCACAGGCACAUGGCCCAAAUGUUUUUUCUUGAAUGGUGUGAAUAUCACUCAAAGAUGAAAAAUAAAAGUAAUUGGUUAGUUUUGACAAGAGUGAACAA